rnacentral:rRNA from 1 species
GAUGAACGCUGGCGGCGUGCCUAAUACACGCAAGUCGAGCGAAUGGAUUAAGAGCUUGCUCUUAUGAAGUUAGCGGCGGACGGGUGAGUAACACGUGGGUAACCUGCCCAUAAGACUGGGAUAACUCCGGGAAACCGGGGCUAAUACCGGAUAACAUUUUGAACCGCAUGGUUCGAAAUUGAAAGGCGGCUUCGGCUGUCACUUAUGGAUGGACCCGCGUCGCAUUAGCUAGUUGGUGAGGUAACGGCUCACCAAGGCAACGAUGCGUAGCCGACCUGAGAGGGUGAUCGGCCACACUGGGACUGAGACACGGCCCAGACUCCUACGGGAGGCAGCAGUAGGGAAUCUUCCGCAAUGGACGAAAGUCUGACGGAGCAACGCCGCGUGAGUGAUGAGGGCUUUCGGGUCGUAAAACUCUGUUGUUAGGGAAGAACAAGUGCUAGUUGAAUAAGCUGGCACCUUGACGGCACCUAACCAGAAAGCCACGGCUAACUACGUGCCAGCCGCCGCCGUAA